GGGCCCAUAGCUCAGUUGGUAGAGCACCUGCCUUUUAAGCAGGGAGUCGAUGGUUCGAACCCAUCUGGGCUCACCA
rnacentral:tRNA from 2 species